GCCCCGCCCGCCCCAGAAGUGGGAGGAGCCGCGGUCCUGCGGACGUUUGGGCGCCUCCGUUUAGGUCCUGAUCCAGAAUCCUGAGUUCCAUGCUGGGUGUGGAGCCAAAAAAAAAAAAAAAAAAUGAAGUUGUGACACCUGGAAAAAAAUAAUAUGAAAGUUUUAUAAAAGGCUAAAACCUCUACAGAUGUUAACAACUGACUCAGCUGCAAUCUGAGGAGGCACCUCGAGGACCACACAGUACUAGGGAAAGGAGGGAGCUGAGGAAUUGGGGCUCUUAGCCCGGAUCUAGCUUGGACCUGAACAGAUUUUUCUUUAAUGCUUUACAUAUUGGGUUUCUAUAUACAAUUUUAUGUGGAAAAAAAAGCUCUCACUCAUUUUUUGAAAAUUCUGGAUUCUGGAUAAUGCUUCACA